AGACAUGAAUCCAGGCCCUACGGGGCGCAGCAGGCGCGAAAACUUUACAAUGCGGGAAACCGUGAUAAGGGAACACCGAGUGCCAGCAUCAUAUGCUGGCUGUCCAGAUGUGUAAACUACAUCUGUUAGCAAGGGCCGGGCAAGACCGGUGCCAGCCGCCGCGGUAACACCGGCGGCCCGAGUGGUGACCGUUAUUAUUGGGUCUAAAGGGUCCGUAGCCGGUUUGGUCAGUCCUCCGGGAAAUCUGAUAGCUUAACUGUUAGGCUUUCGGGGGAUACUGCCAGGCUUGGAACCGGGAGAGGUAAGAGGUACUACAGGGGUAGGAGUGAAAUCUUGUAAUCCCUGUGAGACCACCUGUGGCGAAGGCGUCUUACCAGAACGGGUUCGACGGUGAGGGACGAAAGCUGGGGGCACGAACCGGAUUAGAUACCCGGGUAGUCCCAGCCGUAAACUAUGCUCGCUAGGUGUCAGGCAUGGCGCGACCGUGUCUGGUGC
rnacentral:rRNA from 1 species